AUGCCCAGCGUGGAGCCCAGUGUAGGGCUUGAACUCAAGCCCCCAAGAUCAAGAUCUGAGCUGAGAUCAUGUGUCAGAUGCUUAACCAACUGAGCCACCCAGGUUAAACUGUAUCUGCUACCAAAUCAGAAGAAAAGGUUCCUGCCAUGAGAAGUGCACACAGACUUUCUAAGAGAAGUCCUGGAGGCUCAAGGAACUUUUUCUAAUCUUUCCAGGAGAUGGGACCCACCCUUGGCUUCUUUCUAUGCCAGUGUUCCUCACACAUCCUGGAUUUGACAAACACAGGGAAAAAAUUGCCUGUUAUAGAGAAUCUCAGUCCAGACUUAUUACAGGGAAAAUAAUCAUCUUGGUGCUCAGAAUACU